rnacentral:snRNA from 1 species
AACAGAUAGGUUUUUCUGACCCU